rnacentral:lncRNA from 1 species
UUUCGAAUAAGAAAGGUUUCGUUUGAUUUUUAUUUUCAGGUGGAAACGAGUGUUGUCUUGGAAGCUAGGGUGGUUUUUUAUUUUUCUCCUUCUGGUUUUCACUUUGAGUUCAUCCAUAGAGAGAGAUACGAAGAUUUCCAACUUUCCCUUCUAAUUUUGUUCGUUCAUAUAAAAACAGAAACAAUGUAUUCCCAAGAUCUGACCAACGUCGUUUUCCCCCUCCCAUUUCUUUCUCUUAUCGAUUCUUUCUUCUUCUCAAAAAAUACAGAGAAAGGUUGGUUUAUUUGUCAUAAAACAACAUGGGUGAUAUGUUAGUGUCGAUCCAAUCAAUGAAAAAAGGUGUGAUACUAAAUCACUUCUAAACUUCUUCUCAUAUUUCUUGAUUAAAAUGAUAUGAAUUGCUAUUUUGGCAGCUUUUAUUUGUAGUUUUUUUUAGAAAUUUUGUAGAUGAAGAGCCGAUUGUAGAAAUGUGACAUCCACAAUAAAAAUAUUAGGUAAUGAUGCGACCACACCAAAUCAAUGAUUACAUAAAGUGACAUAUCUCAUCGUUACGUAACAAUGGAUUUAACGAUACGAUAAAAUAAAAUUUAAGUAACAAUCAAAAUAAAUAUUAUAUUAGAGUAACAAUACGAUACAAUACAAUAGGUAAUAUCCAUGCAAACAAACUGCUAAUCUCAAUAUGUAAGUAUAUUAACUAAAAGUUAUAUUCGAGUAUAAAAUAAGCUUUAAGUUUUUGAAAUUGAUGCAUAUUGAUCUUAUAUAUAGCUAACUUAAUAGAGGAAGAAAUUAUACCUAUUAAAUUCUUCAAUCAUCAUUCAAUAUGUUCAAAUUAAACUUAGAUCAAAUUCUGUAUAUUCAACUUUUCAGUUUAGCAAGAAUACUUAAUUUUUGAAGAUCUAAGAGUUUUUUCUAAAAAAAAAGUGAAAAGCUAUUUUCAAGUUUUGUUUUUGGUAAAAAGAUAUAUAUUUUAUAUAUAAUAAUAAGCUUACAAAGAGUUGUCCAGGAGAUGCAUUAUAGGCAUCAGAUUUACAUCAGUGCUAGUCGAAGUCCCACUAGGGCUAACAAAACUAGAGCUAAACAAGCUAUCAUACUAUUUACAGUACUACUACUAUUGCCUAAACUAUUACUAGUAUGAAAAUUCUUCAACAUUCUUUUCCGUAGUACUCCUUGUUGAUCUUGGCAAAAGGUGGAUGUCACAAAAGGUGGUGGUGUAUGAACAUGAGUCAAACUUCCCCAGUACACAUAGCUCCAUGAUUUGCUAGUAAAUCAGCCACACAGUUUUGUUCUCGAUACACAACCAUAAGAGGAAGGCUGUCCAACUAUAUGAGUAUGUACCUGCAAUCAUUAAUUAAAUUAGCAUGGUGUAUAUUUGUGGAACUGAACAUACUAAUAAUAGCUUUUGCAUCCGUUUCAAUGUUCAUAGGCUAUAGAUUAUGUUGGACCGCAAUGGACAAGCCUUUCAGUAGAGCUAAGAGUUCCAUUUGAAGUGUUGUCCCUGGAAAUUUCCUGCAUACCCUAGUAUCCACUCUCCUUGAGUAUUGCGAAAUACUCUUCUUAUACCAUACUUACCUGUCUUCGUGGAACAAGAUCCAUCAAUGUUAAGUUUGUAUGUAAAAUUAGCGGGAGGGUGCCAUUUAAUAUAUAGAGGAAUUAUAUCCUUUUUAGUCUUAUAUUGUGUAAGAUGAUGAUAUUCUGCUGCUUUAUCAAUAAGUAAUUGAAUAUUAACUUGGCAAGGCUUGUGUUCUAAAGUAGUAUGAUUCCUUGUGAUCCAUAGUUCCCACAGACCAAAUGGUAUAAGAGUAGAGCCAGGGAUGCUAUAAGGAUUAUAAGUGAUUUUCUGUAAUAUAAAAAAAUUUAAUAUUGUUAAUCCAACUAUUUUCCUCCCCCUGUAUGACAAUAUUUUGUGUUGUAAUUUGUAGGUUAUGCCAAAGGAGUCUAGCAGGGGGCAUUCCAGAAAGAUAUGUUCCAAGGUUUCUGAAAAUGAGUAUUUGUUGCAAUCAUGCCUAUCUUGUUUAAGUAAAUGGUUGUUGGGAGUCUUCUAUGGCUAAGAAUUCAAAUAAAGUUUGCUAUUUUUGGAGGAAUUAAUAAUUUCCAGAUCCAACUUUACACUACCCAUGUGUGUACGUAUGAGCAUUAUUAGCUAACACAUGAUACAUGGAUUUGACUGAAAACUUCCCAUCUAUUGAAAGUCCCCAAUAAAUUUUGUCAAAAGUAAUAUUAUGUAUUGGUAAAU